rnacentral:rRNA from 1 species
GGGGGAAACGCCCGGUCCCAUUCCGAACCCGGAAGCUAAGCCCCUCUGCGCCGAUGGUACUGCACGGGAGACUGUGUGGGAGAGUAGGUCGCCGCCGGAC